GAACGCACAUUGCGCCCCUUGGUAUUCCGGGGGGCAUGCCUGUUCGAGCGUCAUGAUAACCCUCAAGCCUAGCUUGGUGUUGGGGCCUGCCUGUAGGCAGCCCUUAAAAUCAGUGGCGGUGCUAUUUUGCUCUGAGCGUAGUAAAUCUUCUCGCUAUGGAGUCUUGGUAGCCACUUGCCAACAACCUAAAUUUCUAUGGUUUGACCUCGGAUCAGGUAGGGAUACCCGCUGAACUUAAG
rnacentral:misc_RNA from 1 species